GAUGUUGCACCAGAGCGCUGCAGGGUAACAGACUCAUCAUGGCUUAACCUUACCUGCUAGAUCAGACCCUUAGUGCUUACAGUCUUUUUUUGAGAACUAAAGUGGCUCUGAAAAGAGCCUUUUGGGUAAAGCCGAUCAAUCACGUCUCUGCUGCACUUCACUUGGAGCUGGUGUACUUGGUGACGGCCUUGGUGCCUUCCGACACAGCGUGUUUAGCCAACUCUCCCGGCAGCAGCAGACGCACGGCUGUCUGGAUCUCCCGGGAAGUGAUGGUCGAGCGCUUGUUGUAAUGCGCCAGACGGGAAGCCUCACCUGCGAUGCGCUCGAAGAUAUCGUUCACGAAGGAAUUCAUGAUUCCCAUAGCCUUAGAUGAGAUGCCCGUGUCGGGGUGCACUUGCUUCAGGACCUUGUACACGUAAACAGAAUAGCUCUCCUUGCGGCUGCGCUUGCGCUUCUUGCCAUCUUUCUUCUGCACUUUCGUGACAGCUUUCUUAGAGCCCUUCUUUGGGGCAGGAGCAGACUUCGCUGGAUCCGGCAUUUUCCUCCGCGUCUAAAGAUGCAACGUAAGGUAGACCGGGCAACUACGAACUGUUUCAGCGCGGCUUGCUAUGCGGUACUUAUAGAGCUUGUAUGCAAAUGAGGUUUCACACGGUAUUCCAUUUUUAUUGGUUGAUUUACAGCAGAGUCAGCGUCAAGGAGGCGGAGCCUACUCAAACCGAUUCUGGUUGCGAGCCUUGGUGGUGCUUAGAGGAAAUUCUUUCUAGCCAAUCGCAGCCUUCCAUUUCAUGCUAGCCUGUUAUUGAGAGCGGCAGUUUUGCCUCAGCUGUUCUUUAUGUUCCCUUCGCUUACAGAUCCUUAAAACACCAGGUUGAAAUAAGUUAACUAUCGCUCUUAGGUAUCACGCUUGGAAUUUUGGGGCUAUUUUUCAGGUUCACAGUUCUGAGACCCUAAUUAGAACUCCUUUUUUGGACUGGCCCAUAUUUGAGUAGUGAGCUCAAGACCAGCUCUAAAUGGAAUAAACCUGGGAUAAGGAAUGUGAUUACUGGUAACUGUUAGGCCUGACACACUUGAGGGCGUAUUUGAAACACUGAAAAUCAAUUUGCAAAGCUGACACAGCUACUUUCAUCGACAACGUAGGUGGCUCUGAAAAGAGCCUUUGUGGGGGAUGGAAGGGAAACAGGGCGCUUAAGCGCGCUCCCCACGGAUGCGGCGGGCCAACUGGAUGUCCUUGGGCAUGAUGGUGACGCGUUUGGCGUGGAUGGCGCACAGGUUGGUGUCCUCGAACAGCCCCACCAGGUAGGCCUCGCUCGCCUCCUGCAGCGCCAUGACGGCCGAGCUCUGGAAGCGCAGGUCCGUCUUGAAGUCCUGCGCGAUCUCGCGCACCAGGCGCUGGAACGGCAGCUUGCGGAUCAGCAGCUCGGUCGACUUCUGGUAGCGCCGGAUCUCCCGCAGCGCCACGGUGCCGGGCCGGUAGCGGUGCGGCUUCUUCACGCCGCCCGUGGCCGGGGCGCUCUUGCGGGCGGCCUUGGUGGCCAGCUGCUUGCGCGGGGCCUUGCCGCCGGUGGACUUGCGGGCGGUCUGCUUCGUACGGGCCAUAUUUUUGCGACUUCGGCUUGCAGACGCCAAGUGGCCAUACUUAUAGACUUAUCUUCGUCUUGAUUGGGCCCAGAAAGCAGGAGUUUCUGGACUUGCAGUCUGAUUGGGUAGAAUUCGAUCCUAUUUGCUGAGUUUCAAGAUGGUUACACUAUUCCUUCUCUCCUGAUACUUUUCCUUCCUGUAUUUAUGAACCGCAGAGGGUUUUAAAAAGAUAGUGCUUUUCAGUUGAUGUAACUUUCCUAAAUGCAGUGUUUAAAGUGUUUCUCACGCAGUGUGCUCUUCUAACAGGUUUCUUUGGAAACAAACUUGCCCUUUUCAUGUUCUGCGAUUCACUUUGUAGCGAGUCACCAGAUACUGUAGCUCUUCUCUGACAGUUAGCAUUUAUUUAACUUCAGGCUUUGUGCCCAGUGAUUUGAACGCAUUGUACCACGGCCGAAAGAUGACAAAACGAUGUAUAGUGAAAGGAACCAAAUGCAAACUUAAGUUUUACCUAUUUCGAAACCCUACCAAAGCCGGUCUUACAUUUACUGCACACUGACUAUCGUUAUGUAUGGCGCUCCCGCCUUUCCUUCUGUCUAGAGUGCGUUCCUUCCACCUCCCUUCUACACUAACGGCCAAUUAAGUCCUGCAGAUGAAAUGUUUAUAUAACAGAAGGAUAAGACUAGAAGUAUUAAUACCGCCUUUCCAGUGGAGAACAGCUACUAAAUAGUUAAACCUGUCAUCUAGAUGACAAGUCAAAAUAACUUUCAAAGCAAAUGAGCACUUAUUUAUUUGAUUCUUUUUCCUUUUCUUUUCGAGACAGGGUUUCUCUGUGUAGCCCUGACUGUCUUGGACCUCACUCUGUAGACCAGGCCGGCCUCGAACUCAGAAAUCCACCUGCCUCUGCUUCCCAAGUGCUGGGAUUAAAGGCGUGGGCCACCACAGGAUUUCUGUAUGUAGCCUUGGGUUCCUGAAACUCCCAUCUGUAGACCAGGCUGGCCUGUUUCUGCCUCCUGAGUGCUGAGAUUAAAGGUGUGUGCUACUAUGGCCUGGUUCAAAGUAAAGCUUUUAAUAGCAUGCCUGAUUUUUUGGUAAAAAAGCAUUGUAUACCAACCUUCUUAAAAUUCAAACCCAAAAGUAAAAAUAGGCCCAAGAUAUUUAAAACUUUCCUAGAGCUGACAAAAAUGUAUUAUCUUUUCGCUGAAAUUCAAGUAAAAUGAAAUUGAUUUUAAGGAGAUUCCAAAAUACUAAACACAGGUAGCAGUUUGGCAGUUUAAUUAAUUUAAGAAUCCUUCAGGAGCAGAAGUAACCUCCAAAAUAUGGCACAAAAGUAUCACUGAUGGGAGCUGUUACCUUCCUGUGGUCAUUUCUUAACAGCCGGCAAUGCUUCCUAUAAAAGUGGAUCAGUAGGUAAAGCCUUGAAACACAGAAACAUCUUCAUAUCGUACAAUCAAACCAUUCAGGGCUUCUCAAACGCUGCUGACCUUUCCCAUUAGAAGGGGACCUGCCCUGUGGGGCUGGAUGGUGCCCACACCAGGUAUCGUGUUUCCUGGUAAGAUUUUCUUUGUAAUGUAUGUACUGGAGCACAAAGCAUGUGGUGUUUAUUUAAAUCAGAAAGAGAUUCUCAAACUUCAGACUCU
rnacentral:lncRNA from 1 species